rnacentral:rRNA from 1 species
UACGUAGGGGGCAAGCGUUGUCCGGAAUCAUUGGGCGUAAAGAGCGCGUAGGCGGUCCGAUAAGUCGGUUGUGAAAACUGGGGGCUCAACCCUCAGAGGCCGACCGAUACUGUCGGGCUAGAGUCCGGAAGAGGCGAGUGGAAUUCCUGGCGUAGCGGUGAAAUGCGCAGAUAUCAGGAGGAACACCAAUGGCGAAGGCAGCUCGCUGGGACGGUACUGACGCUGAGGCGCGAAAGCGUGGGGAGCGAACAGG